rnacentral:lncRNA from 1 species
UGCUUUUUUUUUUUUUUUUUUUUUUUUUUUUUUGAGACGGAGUCGAAUCUCACUGUCUCCCAGGCUGGAGUGCAGUGGCGCCAUCACAGCUCAUUGCAGCCUCAACCUCCUGAGCUCAAGCCAUCCUCCCACCUCAGCCUCCCAAGUACCUGGGGUUACAGGCAAGCACCAUUACGCCUAGCUAAUUUUUCUGGGUUUUUUUUUUUUGUUUUUUUUUUUGUAUAGAUGGAUUUCGCCAUGUUGUCCAGGCUGGUCUUAAACUCUCGCUCUGUCUCCCAGGCUAGAGUGCAGUGGGGCAAUCUCGGCUCCCUGCAACCUCUGCCUCCUGGGUUCAAGCAAUUAUCCUGCCUCAGCCUACCAGUUAGCUGGGAUUACAUGUGUGCGCCACCGCGCCCGGCUAAUUUUUUUAUUUUUAGUAGAGGCGGGGUUUCACCAUGUUGACCAGGCUGGUCUCAAGACUACUGACCUCAAGUGAUCCCCCCCCCCCCCCGCCUCGGCCUCCCAAAGUGCUGGGAUUACAGACGUGAGCCACCGUGCCCAGCGGUUUUGCAUUUUCAAUUGUGGGGCACGGUGAGAAAAGACUUGAAGAAAGCAAGGGAGUGAGAUCCAUGGAAAUGUAGGGGGGAACCUUGCAGGCCUAUGGAACAGCCAGUGCAAAGGGCCUGGGGUGGGAGCUGCCUCAGGGUAGCCAGGAUGGCAGGAGGCACAGCUGCCGAGAGGAAGCAGGGGCCAGGUCCUGCAAGGUUAGAGGCCAUUGCUACUCCUGAACACAUUGGCAGGUUUUGAGCAGAGAAGUGACAUGAUUUUAGUUUUCUCAGGAUCCCUCUGGCUGCUGUGUGGAGGAAGAGGGGAGGGUGAGAGCAGGGAUACCUCUUAGGAGGCUGUGGUAGUAAUCCCAGGGAGCCAGGAUGGGAGCAGAGGAGGGGACAGGAAUUGGAUUCUGGAUGCAUUUUGGAGGGAGCAUGAAGGAAAGCGGGGUCAAAGGUUCCUCUGAGGCCUUGGCUGCCUCUCUUAUUCAUCUACAUCCAUUCUGUCAAGGACACCUUUCAUUUCUUCUUGGCACUGUCUCAAGGCCACCACGCUGCUGCCCACCUGACCAGCAGUGGCCUUUCCAGGCCUUCCAUCUUCUCCCCAGCAGCUUAUCUCUGCGUAGCCAGGUCCCAUUUCCCACACACCUUUUUUUAAAGUGUGUUGCACUGCUCUGGGUGCAGGACUGUAGCAGUGACCAGGGCAGCUCCAGAUGAAGCUUCUGCUCACAGGAACCUUUUCUACUGAAACAGAUGAUACCUAAACUCUCAGCUGUGUGACUUUAAGCAACUUGCACAACCUCUCUGUACUUCAGUUGCCUCCAUCUUCAAAUGGGGAUUAAAAAGUGUUGACAUCAUA